GGGGGCGUAGCUCAGCGGGAGAGCGCUUGCUUCGCAUGCAAGAAGUCGUGGGUUCAAUUCCCAUCGCCUCCACCA
rnacentral:tRNA from 1 species